rnacentral:rRNA from 1 species
UUAGUGGCGUACGGGUGAGUAACACGUGAGUAUCUGCUUAUAGGAGGGGGGUAACACGUAGAAAUAUUUGCUAAUACCCCAUAAUACUAUUUUCUUGUAGUUAAAGUUUUUCGCCUAUAAAUGAGCUUGCGGCUGAUUAGCUAGUUGGUGUUGGUAANNGCUCNNNAAGGCUUUGAUCGNNANCUGNNNUGAGAGGAAGGGCAGCCACACUGGGAUUGAGAUGCGGAACAGACUCCUACGGGAGGCAGCAGUGAGGAAUAUUUGGCAAUGAGCGAAAGCUUGACCAAGCAAUACCGCGUGAAGGAUGAAGGCUUUUGGGUUGUAAACUUCUUUUAUCGAUGAAGAAUUCGUGACUUUAGUCGAGGAAUAAGCACCGGCUAAUUACGUGCCAGCAGCCGCGGUAAUACGUGAGGUGCAAGCGUUGUACGGAAUUAUUGGGCGUAAAGCGUCUGUAGAUGGUACUACUAAGUUCUUUGUUAAAUGCUAAGGCUUAACCUUAGUUCGGCAUGGGAUACUGGUAUACUUGAGUAUGAUUGAGGUAAAAGGAAUUUCUAGUGUAGCGGUGAAAUGCGUAGAUAUUAGAAAGAACACCGAUGGCGAAAGCAUUUUACUAGGUCAAUACUGACAUUCAGAGACGAGAGCGAAGGGAGCAAAACGGAUUAGAUACCCGUGUAGUCUUCGCUGUAAACGAUGGAUACUCGGUGGUAUUUAUACUGUCUUAGCUAACGCGUUAAGUAUCCCGCCUGGGGAGUAUUCUUGCAAAAGUGAAACUCAAACGAAUUGACGGGGACCUACACAAGCGGUGGAGCAUGCGAUUUAAUUAGAUGGUACACUAAGAACCUUACCAGGGUUUGACAUGUUAAAAAGUUUUCUGAAAAGAAAAUGUGCCUUUUUAGGAAUUUAAACACAAGUGGUGCAUGGCUGUCGUCAGUUCGUGUUGUGAAAUGUUGGGUUAAGUCCCUUAACGAACGAAACCUUCUUUUGUAGUUAUAUUUCAUAGUAUGAAGUGCUUCUACAAAUACUGCCAGUGACGAAUNGGAGGAAGGAGGAGAUUAAGUCAAGUCAUCAUGCCCUUUAUAUCCUGGGCUAUGCGCGUGCUACAAUGGGUAAGACAAUGAGUUGCUUGCUUGUAAGAGUUGNCAAUCUGUAAAAUUUAUCNNUAGUUCGGANUGUNNUNUGNAACUNGAAUACAUGAAGUAGGAAUCGNUAGUAAUNNCCAGUCANNUAUANGGCGGNGANUNGUCCCU